CUCGGUACGCGCGGAUCUUCCAGAAGAUUAGAGUUUGAUCCUAGGCUCAGGAUGAACGUUGGCGGUGUGCCUAAUACAUAGCAAGUCGAACGGAGCUAAUAGCAAUAUUGGCUUAGUGGCGAACGGGUGAGUAACGCGUUGGUGAUCUGCCUUGAAGUGUGGAAUAACGUUCCGAAAGGAUCGCUAAUACCGCAUGUGCUCUCGAUUUUCAGAAAGUUGAGAGUAAAGGAUUUAUUCGCUUCAAGAGGAGCCUGCGUCCCAUCAGCUGGUUGGUAGGGUAACGGCCUACCAAGGCUAUGACGGGUAGGGGACCUGAGAGGGUGGCCCCCCACAAUGGAACUGAAACACGGUCCAUACACCUACGGGUGGCAGCAGUAGGGAAUAUUAGAAAUGGACGAAAGUCUGAUCUAGCAACACCGCGUGUGCGAAGAAGGCCUUCGGGUCGUAAAGCACUUUUUGGAAGGAAUAGGAAGGAAUGUACUUCCAGAAUAAGUCUCGGCUAACUACGUGCCAGCAGCCGCGGUAACACGUAGGAGGCGAACGUUAUCCGGAUUUACUGGGCGUAAAGCGCGUGUAGGUGGUACUGUAAGUAGGGCGUGA
rnacentral:rRNA from 1 species